rnacentral:rRNA from 1 species
AUUGAACGCUGGCGGCAUGCUUUACACAUGCAAGUCGAACGGCAGCGCGGGCUUCGGCCUGGCGGCGAGUGGCGAACGGGUGAGUAAUACAUCGGAACGUGCCCAGUAGUGGGGGAUAGCUCGGCGAAAGCCGGAUUAAUCCCGCAUACGACCUGAGGUUGAAAGCGGGGGAUCUUCGGACCUCGCGCUAUUUGAGCGGCCGAUGGCAGAUUAGCUAGUUGGUGGGGUAAAGGCCUACCAAGGCGACGAUCUGUAGCUUGUCUGAGAGGACGACCAGCCACACGGGAACUGAGACACGGCCAAGACUCCUACGGGAGGAAGCAGUGGGGAAUUUUGGACAAUGGGCGAAAGCCUGAUCCAGCAAUGCCGCGUGUGUGAUGAAGGCCUUCGGGUUGUAAAGCACUUUUGGCGGGAACGAAAAGGACUGUGCCAAUACCACGGUUCGAUGACGGUACCCGCAGAAUAAGCACCGGCUAACUACGUG